GCCCAGUAACGGCGAGUGAAGCGGCAACAGCUCAAAUUUGAAAUCUGGCUCCCUAGGCCUGAGUUGUAAUUUGUAGAGGAUGCUGUUUUUGGCAAGGUGCCGCCUGAGUUCCCUGGAACGGGACGCCAUAGAGGGUGAGAGCCCCGUCUGGCUGGACGCUAAGCCCCUUAUAAAGCUCCUUCGAUGAGUCGAGUAGUUUGGGAAUGCUGCUCAAAAUGGGAGGUAUAUGUCUUCUAAAGCUAAAUAUUGGCCAGAGACCGAUAGCGCACAAGUAGAGUGAUCGAAAGAUGAAAAGCACUUUGAAAAGAGGGUUAAACAGUACGUGAAAUUGUUGAAAGGGAAGCGCUUGUGACUAGACUUGGGCUUGGUGAAUCAUCCAGUGUUCUCGCUGGUGCACUUUGCCUCGCCCAGGCCAGCAUCGGUUCGCUAUGGGGGAUAAAAGCUUUGGGAAUGUAGCUCCUCAGGGAGUGUUAUAGCCCAUUGCAUAAUGCCCUGUAGCGGACCGAGGUUCGCGCAUUAGCAAGGAUGCUGGCGUAAUGGUCAUUAGCGACCCGUCUUGAAACACGGACCAAGGAGUCGUCUUCGUAUGCGAGUGUUCGGGUGUCAAGCCCCUACGCGAAAUGAAAGUGAACGCAGGUGAGAGCUUCAGCGCAUCAUCGACCGAUCCUGAUGUUCUCGGAUGGAUUUGAGUAGGAGCAUACGGGGCCGGACCCGAAAGAAGGUGAACUAUGCCUGUAUAGGGUGAAGCCAGAGGAAACUCUGGUGGAGGCUCGCAGCGGUUCUGACGUGCAAAUCGAUCGUCAAAUAUGGGCAUGGGGGCGAAAGACUAAUCGAACCUUCUAGUAGCUGGUUUCCGCCGAAGUUUCCCUCAGGAUAGCAGUGUUGAACUCAGUUUUAUGAGGUAAAGCGAAUGAUUAGGGACUCGGGGGCGCUGUUUAGCCUUCAUCCAUUCUCAAACUUUAAAUAUGUAAGAAGCCCUUGUUGCUUCAUUGAACGCGGGCAUUCGAAUGUAUCAACACUAGUGGGCCAUUUUUGGUAAGCAGAACUGGCGAUGCGGGAUGAACCGAACGCGAGGUUAAGGUGCCAGAGUAGACGCUCAUCAGACACCACAAAAGGCGUUAGUACAUCUUGACAGCAGGACGGUGGCCAUGGAAGUCGGAAUCCGCUAAGGACUGUGUAACAACUCACCUGCCGAAUGUACUAGCCCUGAAAAUGGAUGGCGCUCAAGCGUCUCACCCAUACCUCGCCCUCAGGGUAGGAACUAUGCCCUGAGGAGUAGGCGGACGUGGAGGUCGUGACGAAGCCUAGGGCGUGAGCCGGGGUUGAACGGCUCUAGUGCAGAUCUU
rnacentral:rRNA from 1 species